rnacentral:rRNA from 1 species
CCUACGGGUGGCAGCAGUGGGGAAUAUUGGGCAAUGGGCGAAAGCCUGACCCAGCGACGCCGCGUGAGGGAUGAAGGUCUUCGGAUCGUAAACCUCUGUGGACGGGGAAGAUCAUGCCGUUACCUCUUCAGCAAUCCAUGGCCAAUUCCGUGACAGCAGCCGCGGGAUUACGCAGGGGGCGAGCGCUCUCCGGAAUUACUGGGUGUAAAGUGAGUGUAGGCGGGAAGGCAAGUCAAGAGUGAAAACUGUGGGCUGAACCCAUGAACUGCUUUUGAAACUGGUUUACUGGAGUGUGUUAGAGGCAAGCGGAAUUCCUGGUGUAGCAGUGAAAUGCGUAGAUAUUAGGAGGAACACCAGUGGCGAAGGCGACUAGCUGG